UACGUAGGGUGCAAGCGUUAAUCGGAAUUACUGGGCGUAAAGCGCACGUAGGCGGACUUUUAAGUCAGGGGUGAAAUCCCGGGGCUCAACCCCGGAACUGCCUUUGAUACUGGAAGUCUUGAGUAUGGAAGAGGUGAGUGGAAUUCCGAGUGUAGAGGUGAAAUUCGUAGAUAUUCGGAGGAACACCAGUGGCGAAGGCGGCUCACUGGUCCAUUACUGACGCUGAGGUGCGAAAGCGUGGGGAGCAAACAGG
rnacentral:rRNA from 1 species